GGGGGUGAGGGAAGAGGGAGGGAAAGAGAGAGAAAGAGAGGGAGAUACGUUCAUACGUAGAUAGUAUAUGCGCUGUGUUGCCUAUCCGCCAUGGGUAUUGGAUUGGAUUGGAUCGCCGCGUCAGCAAUACAAACACUCGAAGCCUCGAUGUGGGUCGGCCUCUCCCGUUCCUGUUUCAAACUGAAAUUACACUUUCCCGACCGACCCCGUCGUACCCCGAAGCCCCCCCUUCUUCUAUCUAGCUCCAUUUUCCCUUCACGUUGUAGUUUUUCUCUCGUCAUCAACAGCGUCGAAGAUUUUACCAAAGUUCUUCAUCGAAUCUAACUCUAACUAAACGUUAACAGUAACAACACGAGUAGAAUCAAGAAUCUUGCAUGAGACAUGGAGUUGAGAUGAAAUGACAAGACAAUAGAUUUUUGGAAUCACAAUCUCAUCAGAUUUCAAAAAUCGUGAUCGAAAGACUUAGGAUAAAGAAAGAAAUUUAACUUUCUAAUAUGGAUUUUAAUUAGCGAUGGUGCUGGAAUUGUAAGGUGGAGAGAUAAUUUUUAUGAAGAGAGGAAUCAGAAGCGACCGGUUAGCCAAGGUUUCCGUCCAAAGGAUUAGAAAUUAAAGGCGAGUCGGUGAAUUCGAGAUAUAAAUUUUCUCUCCAGCGGUUGAGAGUGAAAAAGAGUUGUGCGACCGCGGCACGGGAAUCGAAACCCUUUAGCCUCCGCUUUCCUCGAGAGGCGAGACCAACCGACUAACUCGAAUGAAAAGGCACCAGUGCUGGUAAGAGACACUUCGUACACGCUCCUGCUGGCGUGUAUCCGAGCACAAAAAAAGAAGAGAAAGAAAAGGAAAUGGAGAAAGAGAGAAAAGAGACGAAGAGGAAGGAGAAGACGCUUAUUUAGCUUACCUUUUACUUACACGUGCUAUACAAUGUUUACCUACACCCACCUAAGCAUAUAAGACUGGAGGGACUGCUUGAGAGGAAUAAUGUUUGCGUAAGAAGAACGGAUAGCGAUUUCGAUAUUUAAAAAGAAAAAGGGAAAACGCCAAGGUUGCCAUACUGGUGACUUUCAAAUCAGGAUAAGAUUCGAAUGUUUGAAACGAAUAGAAUUGAUAAAGCUUACUUUUCUUCCUGGAUUGAAUCCAAAGAAGUUUUCUCAUCUUCAUCAGAACAUCAUUUUUUUUUCUAAAUUUCUGAAACCUCGAUAUCAAAAGACUCUACGAUUUCGUACCGAUACUAUAUCACUUGUUUCAAAAACAUCUCACAAGGGAAAAGAGUGCUGGGGAGAAAUACAAAGAAAAAGAGAAAAAAAAGGAGAAGAAGAAAGAUGGACAUAUUCUAUCCAAAUGUGGCGCAACUACCUGACGACAAGAACAAUGAAAGAGCAAAGAGCGUGCGUUCCCCAUCGUGGCUGGUAGCCGUGUACAAGAUGGCGCCAGGCAGGCCGGAGGCCAGAGUACCACUCGGGCGAUUUCCGGUGGCUUUGUUCCACGUACCACUCGUACACGGGGUGUAUUCGAUGAAACUCGAGGCUUAAAGGCGCGUUUUUCAGCCACGCUACCAGCUUACGUGCGUGCGCGCGAGAUAUAAAGAGGUUUUUCUUCUAUGAAGCCAGUUAGCCAACGAACCGGUAAUUCCUCCGACCGCCUUCUUCCUUCUCUCCACACGGGCUCCUCUCGCUUUCUCCCUCUUUAUUUCUCUCUGUACGUGCUCCUCUCCGUAGCCCCCUUCAACUUCCUCUUUUCGCACGCUCCCGACUUCAACUUCUUCCCCUUCUUCUUCUUCUUCUCCUUCUCCUUCUUCUUCGUCUUUCUCCCUACCUCUUUUUCCUCUUCCGUUCUUUCGCCGUGCUUCUUCCCUUUCUUCUCCCGCCCUUUGCUGUUUGCCCGCAUUCAUUCUCGCCUUUGCCAGACCCGUGGAAAAGAAGAAACGAGCCGGGUGCAACUCAAGAUUUCCCCUACUCCCUGGACCGCCACCCUCUUCCUCUUUCUCUCUUAGCGUUUUCCUGUUCCUCUUUUUAGUCGCCGGUAAUGGAGGCCCUCGAACGCCGGCCCUUCUAGCGCCUCGACGAGCCUGCCUCGGCGAAACGAAACGAAACGAAACGAGAGACGAGACACGUUUACCCCCACCCUCGACGAAUGACUUUUACUUUCUUCCUCCAUUCGUAGUUGAGCUCCGUUUUCCUGUUUCUGUCGGCCACGGUGAUUCGUUCGAGAGGAAAAUACGAACUUCUCUCUCUUUCGUCGGAAAACCAGCGUUGCUGGUUCACAUAUUGCUUCAAAGAUUUGUCAAUUUUUUAUUUCUUUUUUACAUGGCUUAAUAAUCGUUAUAAAACUUAUAUAUUUUUAUAAGAUAAUUUUAUAUGCAUUAAUCAUAUUUAUAUAAAAUAAUUGUAGAAUUAUUAAAAUUCAUAUUGACAAAAUCUACAUCACGAUUCUGAAUAUUGUAUAGGAUAUUCAUCGAUGAUUAUCGGAAUCCGCAACGCCGCUUUGGACAUUUGCCAAUGCGUUCGUGGCCCUUUGAUUGUAUCGAAAUCCACAUUGAGAUUUUAUCGAUUUAUACCAUGGCCGUCAAUUCGUAAUUAUUACUGAAAUUUUCGAUUGGAUUUGAAAUAUUUUGCGGUUUUGUAAUUAUCAUUCGUACGUUGAAUUUUCACCGUUUUACAGCAUUAUUUAAAUUUUAUUCGAUAUUGUAACAUUAAAAAACGGAAGAUUAGAUAUUUUAUGACAGAUACAAAAUUUUUACAAUAAUUUUACAACAUAUUUUUUUUUCUUCGUCAAAAAUUUUCAUAUGUCAAACAACUUUCAAAUAUCAAAUGAAUUAAACAAUUAUCAAUCAAAAAUGAAAAAAAAAAUAAAGAAAAAGAAAAAAGAAAACGCCCACAACGAAGAACUUGGCCCUGCAGCGUUUCGUUCUCCGGAUAUUUUAGCUUCGUCGAGGCGGCCGUAGAACUAGAGGGUACACGGGGAGCAGAGUGGGGGUACAGAGACGCGGAGGUGGGAGAAGGUACGCGCAGAAAGGUGGGACACAGCGGUCGGCGGAGAGGUUGAAGGGGCAGGAGGAAAAGGGCGAAGAUCGAAGAAGGAUGGAGAGAAACACUUGACCCUGCCUGGCUGGUUGCCGCACAGCCGAUGCUGUGCCAGCAAACCCCACCGUGCAACGUGCGUUAAUAAACGCAACGUUGGUGUGUUGGUCCCUCGUCUGUGUCCUCCUCCCGACCCUCGACCCUUUCUCUUUCCAGCCCUCCGCAAACCUCACCCUCGUAUCCUCGUAUCCUUGUUUAAUUCAUAUGACGUACGCCUACCGCGUUGGGUGAUCUCGCUCAAUUCGCGCAUGCGCACUAACGAAUCACGAUACACAGCACGCGUGUGUGGCGCCACGAAGCAAGCGCACAUAUACAUACAAGGGGGAGGCAAUGGGAGUAGAUCGGUCGCGCGCAAGUAACGUGUUGACUCUCGCGAUCGCGUAGCUCCUAAUUUAUUUACAAUUUCGCGAAGGGGGAGCCGGAUUGAUUUGAGCCCCAUCCACCGAUGAGAUCCAAUACCGGGCCGCGGAGUAGCCGCCAAUGCAAGCUUCGCCGUAAUUCGCUGGCCGUUUAAUUGCGCGCCAACCUAGACGACGAUUGCAUCGUUCGAUGGUGAUUAACGAACUUUUUGUACGUGUGUACUUGAAUCAUGGAUUACUACACCUUUGACAAUAUAUUUCCAAAAGAUAUAAAAUUUUCAUUUUUUAAAGUUCGAGAACGCAUCACGAAGAAAUUUUAAUUUAAAUUUAAUUAGUAAAUUUUAUUAGUUUAUAGCAAAUACUCCUUACUAUAUGUUAUAUAUAUAUUCUAUUAUAUAUAUAAUUUUAAAUGCAUAUCUCUAAAUACAAAAUAUCUAGUGACAUUUAAUUGAUGACUAAAAAUAAUAAUUAAUCACUAGCUAACUAAUUCUUGAUUAUAAUUAUAUUCUUAAAAAAAAAAGACACAAAACACUUCUUAAACACUUCUUAACAAUCGGAAUAAGCAAGCUUAGCACUAAUAAAAGCCGAAAUGCAAGAGUCGCGUGACAUUUCGCGAGGUCCCGUGACUGAGCAACCCAGCCAAGAAAAUAUUCCUAGCUGUAAGAACGGUGUAUCUAGACGUAACAAAGAGAGCGUUAUAAGACGAAGCAUUAGAGAAAAGAAGAAAGAAAUAUGCAGAAGCACUCGUGUCAGAGGCGACCAAUAAAUUUAUCGAGCGGGUGUUGGCAUGGAGACUGCCGGACAGAGCUCGGUUGGAUGGCCCAGAGGGCGAUGAGAGGGUACUCGAGAAUCCUCCAGGAGCCCGGCACGGGGAAAUUGGAGGCAGCCACGGCGGCGGCCAGGAGGAGGAACAUAGAAAAGAGAGAUAGAGAGUGCGAGGAGGAAGAGGAGGAGAACGUACCGAGGAAAGACGAAGGCAGAGACUGAAACGAAGAAGGAGAACUCUCAAACUGGAGGGAAGGGGGCUGAGGUAUCGAUUUCUCGCGGUGAUCCAAUCAACGAUGGUGCCUUAUCUGACGCCUUUGCCACCCGCUUUAACACAUCGAUAUCUCUGAUAAGAAAGGGCCUUUCCGAAUUAAUUCCUCUUCUUCCUCCUUUUUAUUUUAUUAAUUUCUAAAGUAAAGUAUCGAUCUUUAUAAUUGCGUAUAUACAAAACCGAUCGAUUUUUAUCAAUUUGAUAGAAAUUUCUAAAAAAAGAAAAAAAAUUCCUUGGAUAAAUAGCUUUAAAACACGUAUAUUUCAGGUAAUGUAAUUGAUUCCUCAAAUUAAAAAUGUAUCUAGUCGAAGACGGAAUCGAUACACAUCCGGUGGAAUUACAAGAUGCAGCCAAUAUUCAACGAGCCAGCCAGCCAGCCAGCCAGCCAACCAGUCUCUAGCUGUCUUUAAUCCAUGGUAAUCUUUAAUUCAUUAACGACAUUAAUUAUUCAUCGCCGAUAACGACGAUGGAAUCGCUGAUCGUCGCCCCUUCUCGACCAUCACCACUACCAACCAAGCCUCGCCGCAUGCCACGUCUGCGAGAUGUUCCAACUCGAAAGGCAGAUCCUUUGUUAUUUUCCCAGCUUCUCUUGGAUAAAUCGUACUGGUGCAAUUGUAACGCUGGGACCAGAACGAGAGAGCAGGACGUUUUCACGUGGACGUUUCGUGUGUACGAAAUGGCUAAUCCCUCUGACAUUGUUCCGAAACAAUACGAUAUCCGUCUCUAAUUUGUACCGCCUUCAACGGUUGCUCCUCUUUCGCGUUAUACAUGAAGACCGACCGGCUGACAGAGUCAAUAUUUUCACUCUCCAGCCCCCCUCCACGAAGGAGACGGAAUAUCGGCGAAACGUUUUGGUUCGCGUAAAAGAGAAGAAAAACGCGGAUAUCUGCAUAGCUGGCUCCGUCGCUUGCGUUGCGUGCUUGCUCAGCCGUUUUGCAUUAUCUUAUGUGCAGCGUCCUUGUUCCAAAAGACUUUAUCCUAUUCUUAAAGUCUUUGGGGAAAGAUUGAUUGUUUGGUAAAAUUAUCAUAAAUGUCUGUACGUCACGAAUACAUGUUUUCAUGAUCGCGAGAGAUUAUUCCAAAAACUUUUUUCAGGGUUAUAUAUUGUUUCCGGGAUAGCUCGAGGAGACAAGAUGCCGCGAAAAACAAGCGGUGGAAAUCGCGUCAAUGACGGAAGUAACAGAGACGAGCCACCAGUGAGAGUGUUUGAGUCGCUCUCGCGGGACCUAUGUCGGUCCAACUGGUUCUACGUUUGAUUUGAGGGAGGCAAGAGGGAGUUGGGGUAAAAAACGAGUAGGGAGGAAAGAGAGGGAACGAAAGCAGAGGAGCGAAAGAGUAGUGCGCUCGGCGUUGUAGGACUCUCCGCUGGAGAGCCCUCCCUCUCUCUCGCCCGCUUAAAGCCCUAUCCACUACUCAUUUAUCAAAUAAAUCAACACAGCUACUUGUGCACCUGUGAAGAGAUCCAACCGCGACCCGUGCCGUCCAAAAGCCCGUGGCAAUCCGGUAAAUCGAUUUCUUCUAAGAAGUUGGAAAUUAAGAAAUCAAGAAAGAAUAUUUGUCUAACGAAAAUAUUUCUUCCGAUUGAAUCGUUUUUCACCAAGAUUCGUGAAAAAAUUGGUGACGAAAGAAUCUGUUGACGAAAGUAGUUGAGAAAUUUAACAAGAAGAGAUUAUCACAGAAAUAUUUAGAGAAAUGGAAAGAGUAAACAAUUUUAUCGCGAUAUCAAUCUUUUUCUUCGUCCCCUUUUUGUAGAUCAAUCAGAGGUGGAAAGACGCGAGAAGAAUGGGAGUACGAGUAGCAGGGAAGUGGGAGGGAA